GCAAAGUUGGGCGGUCCGACAAAGCUUCAAGCUGUGCAAGUUGAUUAUUUUGUUCUUAACAAGGCGAAUUCUCUGUGUGGGCCCUUUGUUGCCUCAGACAUUUACUUUCAGUUUCAUAAAUCUCUCGGGAAGGCAAACUACACAAGGGGAGAUGGACAUCGGGUCACAAUUAUCUAGAUAACAGCCAGCAAAAAGCCAACGCAUUUUAACAGGGAGUGGGAAAAACGGCAGAACAAAGCAAUGGAGGGCGCAGGGCUCAUUGGGAGUCUGAGCCGGAGGCUUUGUGGGACAGCCAGCUGGACUUACAAAGACAGCCAAAAAGAGAGAAAGAAAAAAGGGGACGAAGAGCCGGAGAGGUGUAAGCACGGCCCAGGAUUUGGGUGUGGGUGCUGCUGAGGUUUAAAGGGGGGAGGGAGGAGAGGAGUGGGGUGAACACUAGAUCUUGCUUUGUGAUCCACUCAAGCAGAACUUUUGCCCUCACAGCCCCGGCCUUUAUUCUGCAUCUCUGUGCUCCGCAACCCACCCGUCACCCCCACAUCCCCCGACUCCAUCCCUGAGAAAUUUUAAUCUUGCAUCUAAUUCACAUUACAUGAUCGUUUUGUGACUCUGUGCAGGAAUCCUGAAUCAUACAGGUGUGUCACUGUUGAGUUGCUGCUGAUUUUGUUAGAUGCAAAAUAGUGCAGGUCAGGUACACUUAAAAAAUUUGUUUUUUCCAUGGUUGGGUAACCCAACUGGUUUUAAUGAACCAAGAAGUGUACAUAUUUAACCCAAUAAAGGGUUGAAACAACCCAGCAUAGGUUCAUUUCACCCAGUUGUUGGGUUUCUCCAUAUUUGCACCAACCAUUGGAUAAUACAUCCCAAAAAAUUUUAUAACUAUAAAAGUAUUCUUUUAGCUUAUCAUUCUCUAUCUAAGACUUAAGCUUACUUUUAACUAUCUCUCUCUUCCUCAAGUUCACUCUAUAAGUAGAUUAAAACCAUCUCCAUUCUCCUGUGAUAAAGAUUAAAGCACAGUUUAAAUGGUCAGCGUGAGCUGGAAUAGCCCCUUGCAGUUCUGCCCCAAUAUCCCAGGGAGGGGUGAAGCGUGGCUUUUCGGGUGCUCACCUCGACAUGACCCUCAACCUAGCAGGGGGUACAGUGUGAUCAGAAGACCGAACUGGGAAGUUACUACUGUUUCAAAUCCAAGGUCAGGGCUUUGUAUUUGCAAUAUGGGUGGUCGCUGGAAUUGAAAUAAAUGUUGGAUGUUUGGUUUGAUACAAUUUGUUUUUAAUGCGGUUGAUUUAGGUUCAUGCAAAUCAAUCUACAUUUUAUCAGUAUGUAUGU